GGUAUUUUGACCGUGCAAAGGUAGCAUAAUCAUUAGUUUUUUAAUUGAAAGCUGGAAUGAAAGGUUGGAUGAAAAAUAAGCUGUCUCUAUUUAAGUUUAUUAGAAUUUUAUUUUUAAGUUAAAAAGCUUAAAUUUUAAUAGAAGACGAGAAGACCCUAUAGAGUUUUAUUUAUUUUAUAAAUAAUAAUAAUAGUAUUAAUUAUUUUUAUUUAUAGAAUAAAUUUAGUUGGGGUGAUUAAAAAAUUUAAUAAACUUUUUUUAUAUAUAUACAUUAAUUUAUGAUUAUUUGAUCCUUAAUUUAAGAUUAAAAGAUAAAAUUACCUUAGGGAUAACAGCGUAAUUUUUUUUGAGAGUUCUAAUCGAAAGAAAAGAUUGCGACCUCGAUGUUGGAUUAAAAUAAAAUUUUGGUGUAGAAGCUAAAA
rnacentral:rRNA from 1 species